CAAAGCAUACCUUUCUCGGCCUUUUGGCUAAGAUCAAGUGUAGUAUCUGUUCUUAUCAGUUUAAUAUCUGAUAUGUGGACCAUGCGUCCACUUCGAUAUUAAAUUUAUUUUUUGUGGGGGAGGGACCACCACAGUGGCUUGCCACUGGGUCCCUCGGGCGUCGCUCAGGCGUUGCACUGCUGCCCGGGCCUGGCGCACCCCAACCAAAUCUAAAUCAAAGUUAUUUUUCAGCUUAACCUUGAGCGGGCUGCUCUACGCGAACUUGAUUUCUUUCAGGUGGAGGGCAUCUGCGGCGGCACAGCUUGUGCCCAAGUGAUACCGGCCGGAUUAGCUUGGUAUCUCCGCUUGCCGGCGCGGAGCCGUCGGGUCUCCACGCGCCGUGCCCUGCCCUGCCCGGCCCCCGUCGGCUGGAGCCUGGAGGCCUUGGCGGCCCUGGCGCCUUGACUUCCGGAGCCUGCGGCGGUGGUUGAGAUGUCGGAGGAGCUGCAGCGACCGACCCUGACAAAGCCACUUCCCAGUUCCCAUGGCCUUGACUUCUGGAGCCGCCGGCGGUGGGUGAGAUGUCGGAGCUGCAGCGACCGACCCCGACAAAGCCACUUCCCAGUUCCCAUGGCCGUCAGGAGCAGAUCUCUCUCUCAGAGCAGGUGCUCCAUCUCGAUCUAGCGCUGAUCUCUGGUUUGUUUUGUAAUACUCGAUUACGGUUGUAGCCUCUAAUGUCUAAAAUGCAUUCAGAGUUUAGUUCUGAUCAGGUGACCAGUGGUAACCAUGAAAAAUCAGAAAAUGCACUGGAAAUUCUUAAUUUGGGAUGUCAAAACUGUAGGUUGCCAACUGAGGGGACAGACAGAUGUUGAAAAGUCUUCGUUGGUGACCAUAUUUUGGGAACUGCUGCAAAUGCUUCUUUUUGUUGGUUAAUCAAACAAAAAGGAUGUUCCAUGGAUCAGGUGGAGCAUAUGUUAUAUGCGAUGUUUGCUAGUAAAAAUGCCUGCAGAGCAUUGUCAAAGAUGUCCUUUGAGCUGCAGGAUCUGAAUGGUGGCUUUACGCAAAUCAAGCUCGGCUCCUUGAACGACUUGGAGUGAAGAUGGGAACCAUGAAAAGAACAGCCCCUGCAGAAGAAGGUUGCGCUAGCUAGCUUGAUCCUAAGCCCGAGCUGAAUGAAGAUGACGCACAAUGAAAACAAACAAACAUCUAAGUUCUGAGUUCUGAGCUGAAUGCAUGGACAUCACCAUGAAGUUGCUGAUGAAUGUUCCUGAGGGAGUUAAAAAAUAUUUGAAUACCUCCUUGCGCACGUCAGGUCUAAUGCUUGCAGAAAUGAUGCUUUAAUUUUACAUGUCUGCUGAGGUGUGAGUUGUGAGCUGCUAUAAAAUUGAAUGGUUGGAUAUGAUGGAUCCAUGAUCUAGUUCCAUGGUCUUCAUGUUGAAAAACGAGAUGCAUUGUUCCAUCAUGUAUGCAGAUCUCCCCUGUAGCAACUUCCAAUGUUUGAGCAGCUUGCCCAAUUUCCAGUGUUUAUUUAGUAUAUAUGGCCAAUAUUUCCAGUAUUUCAUUCAUACAUAAGUUCUUAGCCACAAUGUAACUGAGGAGCAGAUGAAGAUCGACGAGCGAUUUGCUCUUGUAUACGGAAAGAACAACAUUGAUUACCAGACUACCUCUUUCUAUUUACUGGUUGAGAGUCUUUGUGACUUC